rnacentral:rRNA from 1 species
AUUGAACGCUAGCGGGAUGCUUUACACAUGCAAGUCGAACGGCAGCGCGGACUUCGGUCUGGCGGCGAGUGGCGAACGGGUGAGUAAUGUAUCGGAACGUGCCCAGUAGCGGGGGAUAACUACGCGAAAGCGUAGCUAAUACCGCAUACGCCCUACGGGGGAAAGCAGGGGAUCGUAAGACCUUGCACUAUUGGAGCGGCCGAUAUCGGAUUGCUAGUUGGUGAGGUAACGGCUCACCAAGGCGACGAUCCGUAGCUGGUUUGAGAGGACGACCAGCCACACUGGGACUGAGACACGGCCCAGACUCCUACGGGAGGCAGCAGUGGGGAAUUUUGGACAAUGGGGGCAACCCUGAUCCAGCCAUCCCGCGUGUGCGAUGAAGGCCUUCGGGUUGUAAAGCACUUUUGGCAGGAAAGAAACGUCGCGGGCUAAUACCCCGUGGAACUGACGGUACCUGCAGAAUAAGCACCGGCUAACUACGUG